rnacentral:rRNA from 1 species
AUUGAACGCUGGCGGAAUGCUUUACACAUGCAAGUCGAGCGGCAGCACGGGGGCAACCCUGGUGGCGAGCGGCGAACGGGUGAGUAAUACAUCGGAACAUGCCCAGUCGUGGGGGAUACACUUCGAAAGAAGUGCUAAUACCGCAUACGUCCUGAGGGGGAAAGCGGGGGAUCGCAAGACCUCGCGCGAUUGGAGUGGCCGAUGUCAGAUUAGCUAGUUGGUGGGGUAAAGGCCUACCAAGGCAACGAUCUGUAGCUGGUCUGAGAGGAUGAUCAGCCACACUGGGACUGAGACACGGCCCAGACUCCUACGGGAGGCAGCAGUGGGGAAUUUUGGACAAUGGGGGCAACCCUGAUCCAGCCAUUCCGCGUGAGUGAAGAAGGCCUUCGGGUUGUAAAGCUCUUUCGGCAGGAACGAAACGGUGAGCUCUAACAUAGCUUGCUAAUGACGGUACCUGAAGAAGAAGCACCGGCUAACUACGUG